CAGCAGCCACGGGAAAACGAAGGGUGCAAGCGUUAAUCGGAAUUACUGGGCGUAAAGCGUGCGCAGGCGGUUUGUUAAGACAGAUGUGAAAUCCCCGGGCUCAACCUGGGAACUGCAUUUGUGACUGGCAAGCUAGAGUGUGGCAGAGGGGGGUGGAAUUCCGCGUGUAGCAGUGAAAUGCGUAGAUAUGCGGAGGAACACCGAUGGCGAAGGCAGCCCCCUGGGCCAACACUGACGCUCAUGCACGAAAGCGUGGGGAGCAAACAGGAUUAGAUACCCCUGUGUCCCUGUCUCUUAUACA
rnacentral:rRNA from 1 species